CCCUUAGAUGUUCUGGGCCGCACGCGCGCUACACUGAUGCAUUCAACGAGUUUCUUCCUGGUCCGAGAGGAAUGGGUAACCUUUUGAAAGUGCAUCGUGAUAGGGAUAGACUAUUGCAAUUAUUGGUCUUCAACGAGGAAUUCCUAGUAGACGUAGUUCAUCAGACUGCAUCGAUUACGUCCCUGCCCUUUGUACACACCGCCCGUCGCUCCUACCGAUUGAAUGCUCAGGUGAGCCAUUCGGACUUUCAUCAUGCUGGUUUCCAGUUUUGAUGAAGGAAAGUCUUGCGAACCUUAUCAUUUAGAGGAAGGAAAAGUCGUAACA
rnacentral:rRNA from 1 species